UAUCUACUCCCUCCGUUAGGAAUUACUUGUCUCAUAAAUGGAUGUAUCUAGAACUAAAAUACGUCUAGAUACAUCCAUUUCUGCGACAAGUAAUUCUGAACGGAGGGAGUACUCU
rfam:Triticum aestivum genome assembly, contig: Triticum_aestivum_CS42_TGACv1_scaffold_475609_6AL